AUUGAACGCUGGCGGAAUGCUUUACACAUGCAAGUCGAACGGCAGCACGGACUUCGGUCUGGUGGCGAGUGGCGAACGGGUGAGUAAUACAUCGGAACGUGCCCAGUCGUGGGGGAUAACGUAGCGAAAGCUACGCUAAUACCGCAUACGAUCUAAGGAUGAAAGCGGGGGAUCGCAAGACCUCGCGCGGUUGGAGCGGCCGAUGGCAGAUUAGGGAGUUGGUAGGGUAAAGGCCUACCAAGCCGACGAUCUGUAGCUGGUCUGAGAGGAUGAUCAGCCAGACUGGGACUGAGACACGGCCCAGACUCCUACGGGAGGCAGCAGUGGGGAAUUUUGGACAAUGGGCGCAAGCCUGAUUCAGCCAUUCCGCGUGCAGGAUGAAGGCCUUCGGGUUGUAAACUGCUUUUGUACAGAACGAAAAGGCUCUGGUUAAUACCCGGGGCUCAUGACGGUACUGUAAGAAUAAGCACCGGCUAACUACGUGCCAGCCGCCGCCGUAA
rnacentral:rRNA from 1 species